CAUUAAGAAGCUAUAAAAACAGCGACAACCUUUUAAGUUGUAGAUGGUGUAUUCAACCGCCCUUAGUGA
rnacentral:tRNA from 1 species